rnacentral:rRNA from 1 species
GAUGAACGCUAGCGGCAGGCUUAAUACAUGCAAGUCGUGGGGCAGCAGGACUGUAGCAAUACAGUUGCUGGUGACCGGCAAACGGGUGCGGAACACGUACCCAACCUACCCUGAACUGGGGGCUAGCCCGGGGUAACCCGAAUUCAUACCCCGUAAUAUAAUUGAGUGGCAUCCCUUUAUUAUUAAAGCCCCGGCGGUUCGGGAUGGGGGGGCGGCUGAUUGGGUAGGUGGUUGAGGUAACGGCUCACCAAGCCUACGAUCAGUAAGUGGUGUGAGAGCGCGGCCAGUGGAACGGGAACUGAGACACGGGGCCGACUCCUCCGGGAGGCAGCAGUAAGGAAUAAGGGGCGGGGGAGGCAACUCUGACCCAGCCAUGCCGCGUGGAGGAUGACGGGCCUGUGAGUUGGAAACUUCUUUUAUAGGGGACGAAACCUGUGUAUGCUUACGCAGUGAAGGGAACCCUAGGAAUAAGCACGGCCUAAUUCGGG